UGGGGAAUAUUGCACAAUGGGCGCAAGCCUGAUGCAGCCAUGCCGCGUGUGUGAAGAAGGCCUUCGGGUUGUAAAGCACUUUCAGCGGGGAGGAAGGCGAUAAGGUUAAUAACCUCAUCGAUUGACGUUACCCGCAGAAGAAGCACCGGCUAACUCCGUGCCAGCAGCCGCGGUAAUACGGAGGGUGCAAGCGUUAAUCGGAAUUACUGGGCGUAAAGCGCACGCAGGCGGUCUGUCAAGUCGGAUGUGAAAUCCCCGGGCUCAACCUGGGAACUGCAUUCGAAACAGGCAGGCUAGAGUCUUGUAGAGGGGGGUAGAAUUCCAGGUGUAGCGGUGAAAUGCGUAGAGAUCUGGAGGAAUACCGGUGGCGAAGGCGGCCCCCUGGACAAAGACUGACGCUCAGGUGCGAAAGCGUGGGGAGCAAACAGG
rnacentral:rRNA from 1 species